GAUGAAGAACGUAGUGAAAUGCGAUAAGUAGUGUGAAUUGCAGAAUUCAGUGAAUCAUCGAAUCUUUGAACGCACAUUGCGCCCUUUGGUAUUCCUUAGGGCAUGCCUGUUCGAGCGUCAUUUAAACCUUCAAGCUCAGCUUGGUGAUGGGUGACUGUCCUCCCCUCGCGGGGGGACUCGCCUCGAAAACAUUGGCGGCCGGUACAUUGGCUUCGAGCGCAGCAGAAACGCGGUCUCGAGUCCGGUGGAUCGGCUCCCAUAAGUCUAUUCUUUUAUUUUGACCUCGGAUCAGGUAGGGAUACCCGCUGAACUUAAGCAUAUCAAUAAGCGGAGGA
rnacentral:misc_RNA from 1 species